GAUGAACGCUGGCGGCGUGCCUAAUACAUGCAAGUCGAGCGAACAGACGAGGAGCUUGCUCCUCUGACGUUAGCGGCGGACGGGUGAGUAACACGUGGAUAACCUACCUAUAAGACUGGGAUAACUUCGGGAAACCGGAGCUAAUACCGGAUAAUAUAUUGAACCGCAUGGUUCAAUAGUGAAAGACGGUUUUGCUGUCACUUAUAGAUGGAUCCGCGCCGCAUUAGCUAGUUGGUAAGGUAACGGCUUACCAAGGCAACGAUGCGUAGCCGCCCUGAGAGGGUUAUCGGCCACACUGGACCUGAGACAGGGUCCAGACUCCUACGGGAGGCAGCAGUAGGGAAUCUUCCGCAAAGGGCGAAAGCCUGACGGAGCAACGCCGCGUGAGUGAUGAAGGUCUUCGGAUCGUAAAACUCUGUUAUUAGGGAAGAACAAAUGUGUAAGUAACUAUGCACGUCUUGACGGUACCUAAUCAGAAAGCCACGGCUAACUACGUG
rnacentral:rRNA from 1 species